rnacentral:lncRNA from 1 species
GCCAGGUCGCUACUCCGAGCUCCCACGACAACUGACCUUCGAUCGAGCUUCUACAAUAAGCAAUCUUCUUUCAACUUUCUACAAGAACCAGACUUCGACCAAACUUCCAUAGCGAUUGGGUAUUGGAUGAGCUUCUACGACGAUCGGGCUCCAGUAGCUGGAUUCCUACAACGACCGAUUGCCUCCGAUGUCUGCCGAACCUCCCCAAUGCCAUCCGAAGUCCAUCACCGACUGACCCUCCACCAGAUCCUUCAUAAAAUCAAACUUCUCCAAUGAAUCAUCCUCAAGCGAGUUUCCACAUCAGGCGAAUCCCAGACGGACUUCUUUAGCAAUCGGAUUCCUACCGGGCUUCACCAACGGAAUGUCUCUAUCCGAGCUUCUACAGCAGGUGACUUCCACCUAUAGUAUCAGCUCCUAAGCUACCCGACAACAGUAGACUCGUCAGUAGCUUCAGGGAUAUCCGAGCUUCUCCCAAACCAACAAUAGAGAGCCAUUCUGCUCCAUC